AUUGAACGCUGGCGGCAGGCCUAACACAUGCAAGUCGAACGAGUGGCGGACGGGUGAGUAAUGUCUGGGAAACUGCCUGAUGGAGGGGGAUAACUACUGGAAACGGUAGCUAAUACCGCAUACCAUCAGAUGUGCCCAGAUGGGAUUAGCUAGUUGGUGGGGUAACGGCUCACCAAGGCGACGAUCCCUAGCUGGUCUGAGAGGAUGACCAGAAACACUGGAACGGAUACACGGUACAGACUAGUACGAGAGGCAGCAGGGGGGAAUAGUGCACAAUGGGCGCAAGAAUGAUGCAGCCAUGCCGCGUGUAUGAAGAAGGCCUUCGGGUUGGAAAGUACUUUCAGCGGGGAGGCGUUAACCGCAGAAGAAGCACCGGCUAACUCCGUGCCAGCAGCCGCGGUAAUAC
rnacentral:rRNA from 1 species